CUUCCCUACCGAUUAGGUCAUCUCAUAACCCAAUCAGACUUGACCUGAUUGAAUCCAAUUCAAUCAAAUUUGAUCCAGACUUUAAUACUAAAUUAAAUUGAGCUAAUUAAUGAUCUAAUCACUAAUUAAUCCUCUAUUAAUAAUACAGUCUGAGUUUAGUAGGAUUCUUCUCUAGAGUCCCCAUUCAGUGGGACUCUUCAGUAGUCUCUGUCUAGUGGGACUCUUCAGAUUAGCCAUGUGAUCGGAGAAAAACUUUUAAUGAUACCUGAUGGUAGCACAGGUUUGAAUCUAAGUCGAUAGUAUAGAAACUAAUUUCUGUACCAAUCAGAGUAACCAUCUAGCAAUGAUACCCGACGUUCGGAUAGAUCGAAUGUAUGUAAAGCAAUACUCAAGAACCUAUUUUGAUAUAGUUACCGUAUAAUUCAUCCCUUUGACUCUUAAUGCUCGG
rnacentral:lncRNA from 1 species